GGGUGUAGUUCAGAUGGCUAGAAUGCCAGGCUGGGGGUCUGGAGGUCGUGAGUUCAAGUCUCGCCACCCUGA
rnacentral:tRNA from 1 species